rnacentral:sRNA from 1 species
CGGAGGCGAGCGGAGGGUUUCCCGCGGCGGGUCAUCUUAUGCAGAUAUGCUACAUGACAAAGACAGAAAUGUAAAAUACUACCAAGGUAUCCGGGUUGCCGUGAGCAGGGUGAAGGACAGAGGACAGAAGGCCUUGGUUCUCGACAUUGGCACUGGCACGGGACUCUUGUCAAUGAUGGCGGUCACAGCAGGUGCCGACUUCUGCUAUGCCAUCGAGGUUUUCAAGCCUAUGGCUGAUGCUGCUGUGAAGAUUGUGGAGAAAAAUGGCUUUAGUGAUAAGAUUAAGGUUAUCAACAAGCAUUCCACCGAGGUGACUAUAGGUCCAGAGGGUGACAUGCCAUGCCGUGCCAACAUCCUGGUCACAGAGUUGUUUGACACAGAGCUGAUCGGGGAGGGGGCGCUGCCCUCCUAUGAGCACGCACACAGGCAUCUCGUGGAGGAAAAUUGUGAGGCCGUGCCCCACAGAGCCACCGUCUAUGCACAGCUGGUGGAGUCCAGGAGGAUGUGGUCGUGGAACAAGCUAUUUCCCAUCCACGUGCAGACCAGCCUCGGAGAGCAGGUCAUCGUCCCUCCCAUGGACCUGGAGAGCUGCCCUGGCGCACCCUCUGUCUGUGACAUUCAGCUGAACCAGGUGUCACCAGCCGACUUUACAGUCCUCAGCGAUGUGCUGCCCAUGUUCAGCAUAGACUUCAGCAAGCAAGUCAGUAGCUCAGCAGCCUGCCAUAGCAGGCGGUUUGAACCUCUGACAUCUGGCCGAGCUCAGGUGGUUCUCUCGUGGUGGGACAUUGAAAUGGACCCUGAGGGGAAGAUCAAGUGCACCAUGGCCCCCUUCUGGGCAC